rnacentral:rRNA from 1 species
ACGGGAGGCAGCAGUGGGGAGUAUUGCACAAUGGGCGAAAGCCUGAUGCAGCAACGCCGCGUGAGUGAAGAAGUAUUUCGGUAUGUAAAGCUCUAUCGAUGGGGAAUAAGAUGAAGGUACCCAAGUAAGAAGCCCCGGCUAACUACGUGCCAGCAGCCGCGGUAAUACGUAGGGGGCAAGCGUUAUCCGGAAUUACUGGGUGUAAAGGGAGUGUAGGCGGGACUGUAAGUCAGAUGUGAAAUAUGCCGGCUCAACUGGCAGACUGCAUUUGAAACUGCGGUUCUUGAGUGAAGUAGAGGUAAGCGGAAUUCCUAGUGUAGCGGUGAAAUGCGUAGAUAUUAGGAGGAACAUCAGUGGCGAAGGCGGCUUACUGGGCUUUAACUGACGCUGAGGCUCGAAAGCGUGGGGAGCAAACAGGAUUAGAUACCCUGGUA